AUUGAACGCUGGCGGCAUGCCUUACACAUGCAAGUCGAACGGCAGCACGGGUGCUUGCCCCUGGUGGCGAGUGGCGAACGGGUGAGUAAUACAUCGGAACAUGUCCUGUAGUGGGGGAUAGCCCGGCGGAAGCCGGAUUAAUACCGCAUACGAUCUACGGAUGAAAGCGGGGGACCUUCGGGCCUCGCGCUAUAGGGUUGGCCGAUGGCUGAUUAGCUAGUUGGUGGGGUAAAGGCCUACCAAGGCGACGAUCAGUAGCUGGUCUGAGAGGACGACCAGCCACACUGGGACUGAGACACGGCCCAGACUCCUACGGGAGGCAGCAGUGGGGAAUUUUGGACAAUGGGCGAAAGCCUGAUCCAGCAAUGCCGCGUGUGUGAAGAAGGCCUUCGGGUUGUAAAGCACUUUUGUCCGGAAAGAAAUACUUGGCCCUAAUACGGUCGGGGGAUGACGGUACCGGAAGAAUAAGCACCGGCUAACUACGUG
rnacentral:rRNA from 1 species